UACAGAGGUCCCAAGCGUUGUUCGGAUUCACUGGGCGUAAAGGGUGCGUAGGCGGCGGGGCAAGUCUGAUGUGAAAUCCCGGGGCUCAACCCUGGAACUGCACUGGAUACUGCUCUGCUAGAGAUCUGGAGAGGAAACUGGAAUUUACGGUGUAGCAGUGAAAUGCGUAGAUAUCGUAAGGAAGGCCAGUGGCGAAGGCGAGUUUCUGGACAGAUUCUGACGCUGAGGCACGAAGGCCAGGGGAGCAAACGGG
rnacentral:rRNA from 1 species